AAUGUUUUUAUCCUCUUGUUUACAUCCACAAUUUAUCUUUUAUUUCUCUAUUUGUUUUACAGACUUGUUCUGGGUCAGUCUCGCGGGCAGGCGCAGAGCCGCUUCAUUGACCUCCCUGUCAGGUUUGUCGUGGAGAUGAAUUUAUAUGUCCAAGAGUUUCUUACACCCCACUAUUGUUUUUUAUGGAGUCCAUCGCUGCUGUAGGUCUGCUUACUUGUCCUGUGAGAUGAUGACGUUGAGAAAUAUGUAGACUUUGAAGGCCCACACAUCAUGUUAAUAUGUCGCCUGUUGUCGAAUCUGCCUACGAGUCUGUAAGCUCCCUAAACUAAUAGUGCCAUGCCAUUUUGAUUGUAUCUACCCUCAUUAUACCUCCAUAAGUUGGAUUUGAGAUUAACAAUCUUUCGGCCAAGACCGUCUUAAUUUCGUAAGCUACACAUGGUUGGAUUCCGUCUUUUUUUGCAAGUGAAAAAUACAUCAGCACGAGGAUGCAGAGACAUUUUGUAAAUUCCAUAUUCUAUUGAUCUCACGACAUCCAUAGUAAAGAUUUGUUUUAGCCCUUAUAUAUGUGGUGUAGCGUUUUGCGAAAUAAGUGAUUACCUUGAUUGUACUUUGGGUUGUGGUCUCAGUGCGAGGUGUUUUUAAGCUGGGGCAGACAACACAUGUAUACAUCAAAUAAAAUUGAAAUAUAAAAGUAAAAGUUGAUUUAUCAUUGCCCUUUGUUCCUGCUCUGGUGUAAUCCAAGAGUUUGAAUCCAAGAUCGACUAAAGCUAGCACAUGACAAAAAAAGCUUUAUAUUUGACAAAAAUGUUUUGUUGGUGUAUUGUCAAUUAAAUGUAAGGAGACCUUUUAGGAUGUGCUGUUGCAAUUGUUUGGCAGACACCGGUGCAGGUUGAUCUGACAUAUAAGAUCUGUCAUGUAUGUGCAAGGAUUUCUAUCUAAUACUUUUAUUAUUUACCGAAAGAUGGUUUAAAGUAAUGUACGGUGGGUUCUUAGUUAAAGGAUUAUGUGCCUCAGUUGUCAUAUCCUAAGACCAAGUAAGAUAUCAUCUUCAAUGAUGAGCUUUAUUCGAUGUCUCUCAUGCCAAAAUCUUCAAACUUCAAUGCUCUUGUGUUAUGAUUCAUGGCUUUUUUGUCAUUCUUGAAUUUGGUAAUAAGACCUGAAUAUCAGAUGGAGUGGAGGC